GGGUCGGUAGCUCAGUCGGUAGAGCACGGGACUGAAAAUCCCGGUGUCGACAGUUCGAUUCUGUCCUGACCCACCA
rnacentral:tRNA from 1 species